rnacentral:rRNA from 1 species
GUAGGUGGCAAGCGUUGUCCGGAAUUAUUGGGCGUAAAGCGCGCGCAGGCGGUUCUUUAAGUCUGAUGUGAAAGCCCACGGCUCAACCGUGGAGGGCCAUCGGAAACUGGAGAACUUGAGUACAGAAGAGGAAAGCGGAAUUCCACGUGUAGCGGUGAAAUGCGUAGAGAUGUGGAGGAACACCAGUGGCGAAGGCGGCUUUCUGGUCUGUAACUGACGCUGAGGCGCGAAAGCGUGGGGAGCAAACAGGGAUUAGAUACCCUGGUAGUCCACGCCGUAAACGAUGAGUGCUAAGUGUUAGGGGGGUUUCCGCCCCCUUAGUGCUGCAGCUAACGCAUUAAGCACUCCGCCUGGGGAUACGGCCGCAAGGCUG